rnacentral:rRNA from 1 species
UACGUAGGGGGCAAGCGUUGUCCGGAAUCAUUGGGCGUAAAGAGCGUGUAGGCGGUUCGGUAAGUCGGCUGUGAAAGUCCAGGGCUCAACCCUGGGAUGCCGGUCGAUACUGCCGGGCUAGAGUUCGGAAGAGGCGAGUGGAAUUCCCGGUGUAGCGGUGAAAUGCGCAGAUAUCGGGAGGAACACCUAUGGCGAAGGCAGCUCGCUGGGACGUUACUGACGCUGAGACGCGAAAGCGUGGGGAGCAAACAGG